UACGUAGGUGGCGAGCGUUGUCCGGAUUUACUGGGCGUAAAGAGCGCGCAGGCGGCUGGUCAAGUCCGAUGUGAAAGCUCCCGGCUUAACUGGGAAAUUGCAUCGGAAACUGAUCGGCUGGAAGGUGGGAGAGGGUAGCGGAAUUCCCGGUGUAGUGGUGAAAUGCGUAGAUAUCGGGAGGAACACCAGUGGCGAAGGCGGCUUCCUGGCCUGUUCUUGACGCUGAGGCGCGAAAGCUAGGGGAGCAAACGGG
rnacentral:rRNA from 1 species